GAUGAACGCUAGCGGGAGGCCUAACACAUGCAAGCCGAGCGGUAUUUGUCUUUCGGGACAGAGAGAGCGGCGUACGGGUGCGGAACACGUGUGCAACCUGCCUUUAUCAGGGGGAUAGCCUUUCGAAAGGAAGAUUAAUACCCCAUAAUAUAUCUGAUGGCAUCAUUAGAUAUUGAAAACUCCGGUGGAUAGAGAUGGGCACGCGCAAGAUUAGAUAGUUGGUGAGGUAACGGCUCACCAAGUCAGUGAUCUUUAGGGGGCCUGAGAGGGUGAUCCCCCACACUGGUACUGAGACACGGACCAGACUCCUACGGGAGGCAGCAGUGAGGAAUAUUGGACAAUGGGUGCGAGCCUGAUCCAGCCAUCCCGCGUGAAGGACGACGGUUCUAUGGAUUGUAAACUUCUUUUAUACUGGGAUAAACCUACUCUCGUGAGGGUAGCUGAAGGUACAGUAUGAAUAAGCACCGGCUAACUCCGUGCCAGCAGCCGCCGUAA
rnacentral:rRNA from 1 species